rnacentral:rRNA from 1 species
AACGAACGCUGGCGGCGUGCCUAACACAUGCAAGUCGAGCGUGAAAGUUCCUUCGGGAAUGAGUAAAGCGGCAGACGGGUGAGUAAUACAUAGGUAAUCUACCUUUGAGCUUGGGAUAACCCCGCGAAAGUGGGGCUAAUACCGGAUAAGACCACGUGACAUACGUUGCGCGGUAGAAGGUGGCUUGUAUUUAUACUGGCUAUCACUUGAGGAUGAGCCUAUGGCCUAUCAGCUUGUUGGCGGGGUAAAAGCCCACCAAGGCUAUGACGGGUAGUUGGUGUGAGAGGACGACCAACCACACGGGGACUGAGACACGGCCCAGACUCCUACGGGAGGUAGCAGUGGGGAAUAUUGGGCAAUGGGCGAAAGCCUGACCCAGCGACGCCGCGUGGGUGAUGAAGGCCUUCGGGUUGUAAAGCCCUGUCAUGCGGAAAGAACAGUUCUGUGGUUAAUACCCGCAGAAUUUGACGGUACCGCAGGAGGAAGCACCGGCUAACUCCGUGCCAGCCGCCGCCGUAAUAC